GAGUUUGAUCAUGGCUCAGGACGAACGCUGGCGGCGUGCCUAAUACAUGCAAGUCGAGCGCGGGAAGCGAGCGGAUCCCUUCGGGGUGAAGCUCGUGGAACGAGCGGCGGACGGGUGAGUAACCCGUGGGCAACCUGCCUGUAAGAUCGGAAUAACCCCGGGAAACCGGGGCUAAUGCCGGGUAAUACUUUUCUUCGCAUGAAGAUAAGUUGAAAGAUGGCUUCUCGCUAUCACUUACAGAUGGGCCCGCGGCGCAUUAGCUAGUUGGUGAGGUAACGGCUCACC
rnacentral:rRNA from 1 species